rnacentral:rRNA from 1 species
CCCCGGGCUCAACCUGGGAACUGCGUUNUGAACUGGGUGACUAGAGUAUGUCAGAGGGAGGUAGAAUUCCACGUGUAGCAGUGAAAUGCGUAGAGAUGUGGAGGAAUACCGAUGGCGAAGGCAGCCUCCUGGGAUAACACUGACGUUCAUGCCCGAAAGCGUGGGUAGCAAACAGGAUUAGAUACCCUGGUAGUCCACGCCCUAAACGAUGUCGAUUAGCUGUUGGGCAGCAUGACUGCUUAGUAGCGAAGCUAACGCGUGAAAUCGACCGCCUGGGGAGUACGGUCGCAAGAUUAAAACUCAAAGGAAUUGACGGGGACCCGCACAAGCGGUGGAUGAUGUGGAUUAAUUCGAUGCAACGCGAAGAACCUUACCUGGUCUUGACAUGUACGGAACCCUCCAGAGACGGAGGGGUGCCUUCGGGAGCCGUAACACAGGUGCUGCAUGGCUGUCGUCAGCUCGUGUCGUGAGAUGUUGGGUUAAGUCCCGCAACGAGCGCAACCCUUGUCAUUAGUUGCCAUCAUUAAGUUGGGCACUCUAAUGAGACUGCCGGUGACAAGCCGGAGGAAGGUGGGGAUGACGUCAAGUCCUCAUGGCCCUUGUGACCAGGGCUUCACACGUCAUACAAUGGUCGGUACAGAGGGUAGCCAAGCCGCGAGGUGGAGCCAAUCUCACAAAACCGAUCGUAGUCCGGAUUGCACUCUGCAACUCGAGUGCAUGAAGUCGGAAUCGCUAGUAAUCGCAGGUCAGCAUACUGCGGUGAAUACGUUCCCGGGUCUUGUACACACCGCCCGUCACACCAUGGGAGUGGGGGAUACCAGAAG